rnacentral:rRNA from 1 species
AUUGAACGCUGGCGGCAUGCUUUACACAUGCAAGUCGAACGGCAGCGCGGGGCAACCUGGCGGCGAGUGGCGAACGGGUGAGUAAUACAUCGGAACGUACCCAGAAGUGGGGGAUAACGUAGCGAAAGUUACGCUAAUACCGCAUACGUUCUACGGAAGAAAGUGGGGGACCUUCGGGCCUCAUGCUUUUGGAGCGGCCGAUGUCUGAUUAGCUAGUUGGUGAGGUAAAGGAUCACCAAGGCGACGAUCAGUAGCUGGUCUGAGAGGACGACCAGCCACACUGGGACUGAGACACGGCCCAGACUCCUACGGGAGGCAGCAGUGGGGAAUUUUGGACAAUGGGCGCAAGCCUGAUCCAGCAAUGCCGCGUGAGUGAAGAAGGCCUUCGGGUUGUAAAGCUCUUUUGUCAGGGAAGAAACGGCUGGGGUUAAUACCUUCGGCUAAUGACGGUACCUGAAGAAUAAGCACCGGCUAACUACGUGCCAGCAGCCGCCGUAAUAC